rnacentral:rRNA from 1 species
UACGUAGGGUGCAAGCGUUGUCCGGAAUUAUUGGGCGUAAAGAGCUCGUAGGCGGUUUGUCACGUCGGAUGUGAAACCCUGAGGCUCAACCUCAGGCCUGCAGUCGAUACGGGCAGACUAGAGUUCGGUAGGGGAGACUGGAAUUCCUGGUGUAGCGGUGAAAUGCGUAGAUAUCUGGAGGAACACCGGUGGCGAAGGCGGCAUCCUGGACCGAGAUUGACGCUGAUGCGCGAAAGCCAGGGGAGCAAACGGG